rnacentral:rRNA from 1 species
AGUGGAUGGGGAGCAACCUAGUUGUGCGUGUGUAAAGGUAGUGCCAAGAAAAGCGAUGAUCAUGUUGAAAAUCAAUUCCCGGUACCCGAAACCGACACAGGUGGGCAAGUAGAGAAUACUAAGGGGCGCGAGGUAACUCCCUCCAAGGAACUCGGCAAAAUGACCCCGUAACUUAGGGAGAAGGGGUGCCACCGAGAGGUGGUCGCAGUGAAGAGGCCCAGGCGACUGUUUAGCAAAAACAUAGGUCUCUGCAAACUCGAAAGAGGAGGUAUAGGGGCUGACGCCUGCCCAGUGCCGGAAGGUUAAAGAAGUUGGUCAGUUUUAGGAUGAAGCUAGCGACUGAAGCCCCGGUGAACGACGGCCGUAACUAUAACGGUCCUAAGGUAGCGAAAUUCCUUGUCGGGUAAGUUCCGACCCGCACGAAAGGCGUAACGAUCUGGGCGCUGUCUCGGAGAGAGGCUCGGCGAAAUAGGAUUGUCUGUGAAGAUACGGACUACCUGCAUUUGGACAGAAAGACCCUAUGAAGCUUUACUAUAGCUUGGAAUUGUGUUCGGGCUUCCUGUGCGCAGGAUAGGUGGGAGGCGUAGAAGGUAUUCUUGUGGGGAUACUGGAGCCAACGGUGAGAUACCACUCUCAGGAGGCUAGAAUUCUAACUUAAUUAAGGACAGUUUCAGGUGGGUAGUUUGACUGGGGCGGUCGCCUCCAAAAAGGUAACGGAGGCGUACAAAGGUUCCCUCAGACUGGUUGGAAAUCAGUCGAAGAGUGCAAAGGCAGAAGGGAGCUUGACUGCGAGAAGUACAGUUCGAGCAGGGUGGAAACACGGUCUUAGUGAUCCGACGGUGCUGUGUGGAAGGGCCGUCGUUCAACGGAUAAAAGUUACUCUAAGGAUAACAGGCUGAUCUCCCCCAAGAGUUCACAUCGACGGGGAGGUUUGGCACCUCGAUGUCGGCUCAUCGCAACCUGGGGCGGAAGAACGUCCCAAGGGUUGGGCUGUUCGCCCAUUAAAGCGGUACGUGAGCUGGGUUCAGAACGUCGUGAGACAGUUCGGUCCAUAUCCGAUGUAGGCGUGAGAAUAUUGAGAGGAGCCUUCCUUAGUACGAGAGGACCGGGAAGGACGCACCGCUGGUGUACCUGUUAUGAUGCCAAAUUGUAAACGCAGGGUAGCCAAGUGCGGAGAGGAUAACCGCUGAAAGCAUCUAAGUGGGAAGCCCACCUCAAGAUGAGUAUUCUGGUGUAAGGUCACGGGAAGACGACCCGUAAAUAGGCACGAGGUGGAAGUGCAGAGAUGUAUGAAGCCGAAGUGUACUAAUAGACCGUCGGCUUG